GGCACUACGGUGCUGAAGUAACAAAUGCCCUGCUUCCAGGAAAAGCCUCUAAGCAUCAGGUAACAUUAAAUCGUACCCCAAACCGACACAGGUGGUCAGGUAGAGAAUACCAAGGCGCUUGAGAGAACUCGGGUGAAGGAACUAGGCAAAAUGGUGCCGUAACUUCGGGAGAAGGCACGCUGGUGUGUAGGUGAAGUCCCUGCGGAUGGAGCUGAGACCAGUCG
rnacentral:rRNA from 1 species